GUUUGGCACCUCGAUGUCGGCUCAUCACAUCCUGGGGCUGUAGCCGGUCCCAAGGGUAUGGCUGUUCGCCAUUUAAAGUGGUACGCGAGCUGGGUUUAGAACGUCGUGAGACAGUUCGGUCUCUAUCUAUCGCGGGCGCUCGAGAUUUGCGCGGCUCCGGCACUAGUACGAGAGGACCGUGCCGGACCGACCUCCGGUCUGCCGGUUGUGCCGCCAGGUGCAUUGCCGGGUAUCCAAGUCGGGAUCG
rnacentral:rRNA from 1 species